CCUACGGGAGGCAGCAGUAGGGAAUUUUCGGCAAUGGGGGAAACCCUGACCGAGCAACGCCGCGUGAACGAAGAAGUUAUUCGUAAUGUAAAGUUCUUUUAACAGGGAAGAAAGAGAAAUUUGACGGUACCUGAAGAAUAAGCUCCGGCUAACUACGUGCCAGCAGCCGCGGUAAUACGUAGGGAGCGAGCGUUAUCCGGAAUUAUUGGGCGGAAAGGGUGCGUAGAUGGCAUAGUAAGUCUAUUGUAAAAAUGCUGGGCUCAACCCAGUAGGGAAAACGAUACUGCAAAGCUAGAGUAUGACAGAGGCAAGUGGAACUACAUGUGUAGCGGUCAUAUGCGUAUAUAUCUGUAAGAACCCCAGUGGCGCAGGCGGCUUGCUGGGUCGAUACUGACAUUGAGGCACGAAAGCGUGGGGAGCAAACAGGAUUAGAUACCCCAGUAGUC
rnacentral:rRNA from 1 species